rnacentral:rRNA from 1 species
UACGAAGGGUGCAAACGUUGCUCGGAAUCAUUGGGCGUAAAGCGCACGUAGGCGGCCCCAAAAGUUGGAUGUGAAAUCCCUCGGCUCAACCGAGGACGUGCAUCCAAAACUGUGGGGCUUGAGUACUGAAGAGGAUCGCGGAAUUCCCGGUGUAGAGGUGAAAUUCGUAGAUAUCGGGAGGAACACCAGUGGCGAAGGCGGCGAUCUGGGCAGAUACUGACGCUGAUGCGCGAAAGCUAGGGGAGCGAACAGG